CCCGCUGAACUUAAGCAUAUCAAUAAGCGGAGGAAAAGAAACCAACAGGGAUUGCCUCAGUAACGGCGAGUGAAGCGGCAAUAGCUCAAAUUUGAAAUCUGACCUUCUGGUCCGAAUUGUAAUUUGUAGAGGAUGCUUCGAACAUGGUCUGGUCUAAGUUCCUUGGAACAGGACGUCAUAGAGGGUGAGAAUCCCGUAUGUGACUAGGUGCCUAAGUUCAUGUGAAGCUCCUUCAACGAGUCGAGUUGUUUGGGAAUGCAGCUCAAAAUGGGUGGUAAAUUUCAUCUAAAGCUAAAUAUUGGCCAGAGACCGAUAGCGCACAAGUAGAGUGAUCGAAAGAUGAAGAGCACUUUGGAAAGAGAGUUAAAUAGUACGUGAAAUUGUUGAAAGGGAAGCGCUUGCAAUCAGACUUGCGUGCAGUUGAUCAUCCGAUGUUCUCACCGGUGCACUCAUCUGCAUUCAGGCCAGCAUCGGUUUUGGUGGUUGGAUAAAGGCCCUGGGAAUGUAGCUUCUUUCGGGGAGUGUUAUAGCCCAGGGUGCAAUGUGGCCUACCAGGACCGAGGACCGCGCUUCGGCUAGGAUGCUGGCGUAAUGGUUGUAAGCGACCCGUCUUGAAACACGG
rnacentral:rRNA from 1 species